CAUCGAUACUGGCAAACUUACCGAAAGGUAAGGACGCAAAGUUAAAGGGUCUAAAUGUCCGCUCUACUUGAUGGAAGCGAACAUAUGACAGCCUGACUGCCGAA
rnacentral:ncRNA from 1 species